UUCUGACCCUCCCUGUACCUAGUGUACGAUUGUUACACAACUCUCUUGACCUCAGGUCCCAGCGCUCAGGCAGAGGGCGAAGGAAACACCCUUUGUAGGAGCAUCCACGGCUUCCAGUCUGGUCCGGUUGCUGGGAUGGAAACUAAGAACAGCCUUCCAUGAAGCCUGGAAUAAAUGAAUCUGCUCUCUCUCUGUAUCUGAUUGAUGAUCUUCAUCAGCACAGACAUGCAUCUAUAUUGCAUGCAGGUAAUAAAUGAUCAUGCACUCGU
rnacentral:lncRNA from 1 species